UACGAAGGGAGCUAGCGUUGUUCGGAAUCACUGGGCGUAAAGCGCACGUAGGCGGAUUUGCCAGUCAGGGGUGAAAUCCCGGGGCUCAACCUCGGAACUGCCUUUGAUACAGCAAGUCUUGAGUUCGAGAGAGGUGGGUGGAAUUCCUAGUGUAGAGGUGAAAUUCGUAGAUAUUAGGAAGAACACCGGUGGCGAAGGCGGCCCACUGGCUCGACACUGACGCUGAGGUGCGAAAGUGUGGGGAGCAAACAGG
rnacentral:rRNA from 1 species